UACGUAGGGGGCAAGCGUUGUCCGGAAUCAUUGGGCGUAAAGCGCGUGUAGGCGGUUACGUAAGUCUGCUGUGAAAGUCGGAGGCUCAACCUUCGAAAGCCGGUGGAUACUGCGUGACUAGAGUACGGAAGAGGAGAGUGGAAUUCCUGGUGUAGCGGUGAAAUGCGCAGAUAUCAGGAGGAACACCGGUGGCGAAGGCGGUUCUCUGGGCCUUACCUGACGCUGAGGAGCGAAAGCGUGGGGAGCAAACAGG
rnacentral:rRNA from 1 species